rnacentral:lncRNA from 1 species
UCACUUUCAAACUUUGCCAAAUGAGCACAAGAAAUCUUUAUCGAUGGAUAUUGAUUCAAAUAACAAUAGCUCAGUUCAUGACCUAACAACUAAGAAUUCUAAAACAGUCUAAAAAUAAACAAACAUCUAUAGCAUGAAUCACAGAAAAGAAGACAAUGAAUAGGCCAAAAUCUGCUGCCAAAAAUCACUCAAUCCAGAAGAUUCAGGGAGCAACAGCCCAUGAAAACCUUUGCAUUUCAACGUACCAAGUCAACACUAGCCAACAGCCACCGAAACAGACCCCUUUCAAACAUCUUUAUUUUUAGAGAAAAAAAAAUGUGGAGAGAAAAACAGUAUUGAAACUGUGUAAUGUUGCAGAAUCUUCAUCCCAAUUUCGUGCAAACUGAAGUGCAAAUACAUGAAGUGAUAUGAAAUAUAAUCACAAACUUGACACACUAGAAUAAUGCUUAAAUGAAUCCAAAAUCAGUGAUAGCGAAUGAGUCCAAAUGAUCCGAGUAGGUCCAAACAUGCAGAUAAACCCUCAGACUCAUUUUCGAGUUCAAAUCUCAUUCUCCAUCUUAACGUCCUUGGCUAGUAGCUUAUACAACACAUUAACAAACAAACUCUCAGCAAAAGCAAUACCAAAACUCAUGAAAAAUAACAGAUGAAAAGCAUCUAUUCAACUGAAGCGGGCAGUUUUGCCUAUCUGAGGAUUAAAAAGAAGCUAGACACCAGAACAUGAGCUUAUCAUUGUAAAAUGAUGCCUUCAGCAUAUGAACUGGAAGACGCACUGUUCAUUUGUAAAAAAACAGUUGUAACCUAACUAAAGUAUGGGAAAAGGAUACUAUUCAGUGAUUCCUGUCGAACUUGUCGAAACAAAACAGUAGGUGCAUUCAUAGUCGUGCAAUAGGCUGUCUGGACAGUGCAAACAGGGCAACUGACUCGAUUCAUCAAAGUUCAGAAUGAUUACUUAGAUUCGAGUCCCUACCAGCCGCUAUCAAUUAGUCUACACUCGAUGACAAUCCCAAAAUUUUGGUGCAGAGGUAAACUCAUGCUUUCAACCAGUAGAACAUCCAGAUAAGGUUACGAAAUUAAAGGAAAGAGAAAACUAAACAACUCUUUGAAUUCUAAUUUUGAUAGAACAAAAUCUGAUGACCAAAAAGAGUUCACAGAACAAGUCAUUUAGUGUUCGGAAAGCACGCAUAAUGAGAAGUAACUUCAUAUCUUCAUGCUCGCUUGUGAUUUUCAAAACUGAACUCAUCGUUCAUUUGCAAGCGACGAAAUCUUGACUAAAAAAUGAUAAUUCGACCCCAAAAUAACAGUUAAACCAUAUAAGCACAGAAAACGACCACUCAAAAUCAACUUCUACUAGCUGAGAAUACUCAAAUACAUCACACCAUCGCGAACAGAUUUAAUCAGCAAGAAGUUCGAUCAAAACACAAACAAACCACCCUAGAUUUAAUCUCAUAGCUCAAAAUACAACGAAACAAAACAAAAUCAAGUUGUAACAAUCCAUAAAACCACCCUAAAUUGGAUCUCAUAGCUCAAAAUACAAUGAAAUAAAACUGAAUGGCAAGAACAGAGAGAUGAAGACUGAACCUCAAAAUUUCGAACUUCUUUUGAUAACAAAAUCGAAGGCGAUUACACAGUUUCGACUCCAAACUUUCAGCAAUAAAAUAACAGCAGGUCAAGACUCGGAGCACAGCCAAACCAGUCGCAAAGACGAGCAGCAAUCAGAAGUUUAGACAGCAACGAACUCAACAACUUUCAAUCGAACUCCAUUUUAAGAAACAAAAUCAAGACAGAUAUUGAAAUCUUUGGUGAUUUUCUAAUUUCUUCUGAAAUGAAACUCGAACAAAAAUCAAACCCAAACUAUUUUUUUGUAUUUUUCUUUUUCUGAAAAUGCAGUACUAGAUUCAAAAGAAGGAAAGCAAAGAACCCU